GCCAGCGUGGUGUAGUGGUUUGAAUGUUGGACUAUGACUCUGGAGACCAGAGUUCAAAUCAUGGCUCGGCCA